UAAAGCCUUCUUCUAAAUCUUUCGAAGUCUUCCUUUCAUUCUCUUAGCGAUCUUAGCAUAAAGGGCUUACUUGAGCUUACAAGAUCAUUUCAUUCUCUAAGCGAUCUUAGCAUAAAGGGCUUACUUGAGCUUACAAGAUCAUGAAAGAUUCGUGAGUAAGUUAUCAAGUGUCGCACGGAGCUUUAAAAAGACUAAGUGCCGCACGGAGCUUUAAUAAGACUAAGUGGCGCACGGAGCUUUAAUAAGACUUUAACUCUCUGACAAUAAGAUUGAAAUUUUCCACGUGGAGGCACAAAUGAUAACUUCAAAUGACCUACAGAAGUUUUGUGUCCUUGAGUGUUCAGGAUGUAAGCAUAAAAAUCUUAUAAAAGACAAAAAGAAGUUUGAAUGCACAGUGUAGCGUACCAUCGAUAGACAACAUUAGUGCCUUGAUCUAUAUUUUUUUCCAUAUAGAUUACAUUACAACAAUAUGUAUCGCUAUCAUAUAGUUGAAGGCUCAUUUACAUUACGUUGAAACAAUGUUGGUUCUAAAUUAUAUAAAUGUGUACUACUUGUUAAA